UACGAAGGGGGCUAGCGUUGUUCGGAUUUACUGGGCGUAAAGGGCUCGUAGGCGGCCAACUAAGUCAUACGUGAAAUCCCUCGGCUUAACCGGGGAACUGCGUCUGAUACUGGAUGGCUUGAGUUCGGGAGAGGGAUGCGGAAUUCCAGGUGUAGCGGUGAAAUGCGUAGAUAUCUGGAGGAACACCGGUGGCGAAGGCGGCAUCCUGGACCGAUACUGACGCUGAGGAGCGAAAGCCAGGGGAGCAAACGGG
rnacentral:rRNA from 1 species